rfam:Hordeum vulgare subsp. vulgare, WGS project CAJW01000000 data, contig: morex_contig_1561738
UUAGUAUUCCCUCCGUCUCAAAAUUCUUGUCUUAAGUUGGUCUAGAAAUAGAUGUAUCUAAAUAUCAAAAUGUGACUAGAUACAUUCAUAUCUAGACAAAUUUAAGACAAUUUUUUUUAGACGGAGGGAGUACUAG